rfam:Cricetulus griseus cell line CHO-K1, whole genome shotgun sequence.
GUGACCUCCUAUCCCAUCCUCUUCCUGCUGGCUUGGAGGGUGUCCCCUUUCUGCCUCACUGCUCCAUGUGUGUCCCUCCAUGUGUGUCUCAUCAAAGAGGACGACCUUCCCCGAAUAGAGGAGGUCUGGUCUUUGGUCAAGGGUAUACGAGUAUCUCCGCUCCCCUGCUAGAUCCUCCAAACAAGCUCUCAAAUAAAUACAUGUUAAAGUAACUGAGGAUUCAGGUGGGUGGACCUAUGCUACCCUGUAGCUACCU